rnacentral:tRNA from 1 species
AUUUAUAUAGUUUAAAUAAAACAUUACAUUUUCACUGUAAAAAUAAAAAUUAAUUUUUAUAAAUA